CACGCCCCCGGCGUUACUCGCCGGCGCUGGACUUCUGGAGUCGGAACUUUCAUGCUCCACAGCGCCAAAUGAAGCUCCUUCGUCCUCAUCGAUAUCUCUCAAAACCUGGCUUCCAUUUCAAACUCAGAUACCUCUGUAGCUCCUACGAGACCUCCGUUGUCGAUCGCGAGGGAGAUGAGCAAAUCGCGACCAUCCUCACAGACAUUGUGCGAGGAAAUCAGAGCUGGAAGAUCGCCUUCAGCAACACUUUCCUCACUGACCAAUUGAAGUCUCGCCAUGUGGAAAUGGUCUUGAUCCGAACCCUUGACAAUCCGAGGUUAGCCCUAAGGUUCUUCAACUUUUUAGGGUUACACAAGAACUUCAUCCACUCCACGACCUCGUUUUGCAUUCUGGUUCACGCUUUGGUUCAAUGUAAUCUCUUUUGGCCUGCGUCCUCCCUGUUGCAAACGCUGCUACUUCGCGGGUUGACUCCGCAGGGUGUCUUUGAGUCUUUCCUGAAUUCAUAUCAACACUUGAAAUUUUCGUCCACUCUGGGUUUUGAUUUGUUGAUUCAAAUGUAUGUACAGAGUAAAAGAGUGUUCGAUGCUAUUGUGAUCAUUAGGCUCAUGAGGAGCCAUAGAUUGUUGCCUGAAGUUCGGACUUUCAGCUGCGUUUUGAAUGGACUCCUUAGAGUUAGGCGGUUCAACGUUGUUUUGGAUUUAUUUGAUGAGAUUGUGAAGUUGGGGGUCCGCCCUGAUGUUUAUAUUUGUACCACUGUGGUCCGGAGCUUGUGUGAAUCAAGAGAUUUUGCUAGGGCUAAGGAAAUGAUUCCAUGGAUGGAGUCAAGUGGGUGUGAAUUGAGUGUAGUGACGUAUAAUGCAUUCAUCCACGGCCUUUGUAAGUCUCAGAGGGCUUGGGAAGCUAUUGAGGUGAAGAAUUUGUUGAGUAAAAAAGGGUUGAGAGCUGAUGUUGUAACAUACUGUACGUUAGUACUUGGGUUGUGCAAGGUGCAAGAUUUUGAAGUUGCUGCAGAACUAAUGAAUGAAAUGCUUGAGGUGGGAUGUGUGCCAAGUGAAGCUGCAGUCUCAGGUCUUGCAGAGGGGUUGAGGAAGAAGGGGAAUAUUGCUGAUGCAUAUGAUUUGGUCAUCAAGGUGGGAAAACUAGGGGUAGUGCCUAAUUUGUUUGUUUACAAUUCAUUGAUAAAUUCUUUGUGUAGAGAUGAGAAAUUCAAUGAGGCUGAGUUGCUAUUUGUCAGCAUGGGGGAAAAGGGCUUGUUUCCUAAUGAUGUUACCUAUUCUGUAUUGAUUGAUUCAUUCUGCAAAAGGGGGAAUAUGAGUGCUGCCCAUUUUUGCUUUGGUAAAAUGAGGAAUGCUGGGAUAACUGGAACUGUGUAUCACUAUAAUUCUUUAAUAAGUGGGCAUUGUAAGUUGGGGGCAUUGAAGUCAGCUGAUUUUCUUUUUGAUGAAAUGAUUGGUAAAGGAUUGAUACCAACAGUGGUAACUUAUACAACAAUGAUAAGUGGAUACUGCAAGGAAGGGAAACUGCACAGGGCAUUCAGGCUUUAUCAUGAGAUGACUGGAAAGGGCAUAUCGGCAAACACUUACACCUUUACCUCACUUAUUUCAGGUCUUUUUCAUGCAAAUAUGAUGGCUGAGGCAAUUAAGUUGUUUGAUGAAAUGGUGGAACAGAACAUUGCUCCAAACGAGGUAACUUAUAAUGUUAUGAUUGAGGGGCACUGCAAGCAAGGUAACACAGUAAGAGCUUUUGAAUUGCUUGAUGAAAUGAUGGAGAAAGGCCUUGUACCAGAUUCUUAUACCUAUAGAUCCCUUAUAACUGGGCUAUGUUCUACUGGUAGAGUGUGCGAAGCCAAAGAAUUUAUGGAUGACCUUCAUAGAGAACAUCAUAAGUUAAAUGAGAUGUGUUUUAGUGCACUUCUUUAUGGCUAUUGUAGGGAAGGAAGAUUAAAAGAUGCAUUGGCUGCUUGUAAUGAGAUGGCGGAAAGGGGGGUGGACAUGGAUCUUGUGUGUUAUGCUAUACUUAUAUAUGGAACUCUAAAACAUCAUGACACAAUAAAACUGCGUGGUAUCUUGAAGGAGAUGCAUGACCAUGGAUUGAGGCCUGACAAUGUCAUUUAUACAAAUAUGAUAGAUGCAUAUUGCAAAGCAGGAAAUUUAAAGAGGGCAUUUAGGCUUUGGGACAUAAUGGUUGGUGAAGGGUACAUCCCAAAUGUUGUAACAUAUACUGCUGUCAUAAAUGGCUUAUGUAAUGCUGGAUUUUCAGACAAAGCGGUGCUUCUUUGUAAGGAAAUGCUAGGUAAAAACUCCCUUCCAAAUCAGAUCACAUUUGGUUGUUUCCUUGAUCACCUUACCAAGGAAGAAAACAUGGAGAAAGCUGCACAGCUGCACACUUCAAUGCUGAGGGAGUUCUUAGCAAGCACUGUCACAUACAACAUUCUUAUUAGAGGUUUUUGCCAAUUAGGCAGAAUUCAGGAUGCCAAAAGGCUCCUGGUAACAAUGAUAGAUUAUGGGAUAUUUCCGGAUUGUAUAAGUUAUUCUACAAUAAUUCACGAGUACUGUAAGAGGGGUGACUUAGAGAAAGCUUUAGGGCUGUGGGACUCUAUGCUGGACAGAGGCGUGAAUCCUGACUCAGUGGCAUAUAAUGUUUUGAUAUAUGGCUGCUGUGUUAGUGGAGAACUCACCAAGGCUUUUGAAUUGCGUGAUGACAUGAUGCGAAGGGGUGUGAAACCAAAUCGAGCAACAUAUAAUGCUCUUAUUCAUGGAACUUGCUUUACAAGUUCAGUUUUGUUAUGAAGCCAAAUCAAGCAACACAUGAUGCUCUUAUUCAGGGAACUGGCUUGACAGGCUCAGUUUUGUGAAGGGAAGAUGUUUCAUCCAUUUGCUCCGAUGAAUAGAUUAUAGUGCACAUUCUUGGUAACUUAGAUAGAGAAGAUGAUUUCAUUUUUUACCUUCAGCUCGGGAUAGGAUCUUACCAUUGCCAAAGCCAAAGUGGUGAUGCUUGCAUAUCUGAAUGCCUUCAUCGACCCUGCACGUCUGAUCUCGUUCUCUUUUUUGUAUGUGCUUCAUUAUUGAUGAAGAAGUCCUAAGAAAUCGUAAAAAAUGGAAUCUCUAUGCGACCACAAAACACAAAGUCAAGUUUGAAGGAAACAAAAGCAGGAGCAGAGGAUCGACGGUGGUGUUUCUGUGUUUUACAGGGUAGCAAAACAGACGCACAGCUCUGCUGUUACAUUUGGGGAACUUUGGUUGCUACUCAACUCACUUGUUGUCAUGCGUUCAUUGCUUGCUCUAACUGCCAUCAGUAUCAACAUUUCGUUGAGAUGGGAAAUUAGCUCCUGGUGAGUGGCGUUUACAUUUACUUUGUGGCCAUGGCUGUCCCAUUGCAAUCUCAUAUGCAAGGAAAUGGAACAGAGCUUUCUGAAAUGCAAUACUUUGGAUAGGGGCAACUGCCAAAUUGGCUAUGGCAAACAACAGCAGUGUGGAGUCCCAGUUUCGAAGAAAGCCCGCCUGUGACUCUCAAUGGCCUAUUAUUUUCUAAUCUGGCUAGCUUGUUCCAUGCCAUUCAAGAAGAUUAAAGAAAGGGCCUGUAUGUGAAUCCAUGGAAGAACUGCAGAGGAAAAUCUUUUUUUCUAUUCAACACAUCAAAACUGCUAUUUUUAUCCUCUUAUUUUUUUUUUAGAGUAUUAUCACAUAAACUAUCUAAUUUAGGAUGGCUACAAUAUUUGAAGUUCAUAUUGUU